CAGUCGCCACGGUAAUACGUAGGGUGCAAGCGUUAAUCGGAAUUACUGGGCGUAAAGCGUGCGCAGGCGGUUUUGUAAGACAGAGGUGAAAUCCCCGGGCUCAACCUGGGAACUGCCUUUGUGACUGCAAGGCUAGAGUACGGCAGAGAGGGAUGGAAUUCCGCGUGUAGCAGUGAAAUGCGUAGAUAUGCGGAGGAACACCGAUGGCGAAGGCAAUCCCCUGGGCCUGUACUGACGCUCAUGCACGAAAGCGUGGGGAGCAAACAGGAUUAGAUACCCCUGUAGUCCCUGUCUCUUAUAC
rnacentral:rRNA from 1 species